rnacentral:siRNA from 1 species
UUGCGUGGGGCGUAGUAAUUC